rnacentral:rRNA from 1 species
UAGGGAAUCUUCGGCAAUGGGGGGAACCCUGACCGAGCAACGCCGCGUGAGUGAAGAAGGUUUUCGGAUCGUAAAGCUCUGUUGUUAAGGAAGAACGAGUGUGAGAAUGGAAAGUUCAUACUGUGACGGUACUUAACCAGAAAGGGACGGCUAACUACGUGCCAGCAGCCGCGGUAAUACGUAGGUCGCGAGCGUUGUCCGGAUUUAUUGGGCGUAAAGCGAGCGCAGGCGGUUAGAUAAGUCUGAAGUUAAAGGCAGUGGCUCAACCAUUGUAGGCUUUGGAAACUGUUUAACUUGAGUGCAGAAGGGGAGAGUGGAAUUCCAUGUGUAGCGGUGAAAUGCGUAGAUAUAUGGAGGAACACCGGUGGCGAAAGCGGCUCUCUGGUCUGUAACUGACGCUGAGGCUCGAAAGCGUGGGGGGCGAACAGG